CCAAUAGCGUAUAUUAAAGUUGUUGCAGUUAAAAAGCUCGUAGUUGAAUUUCGGGAUCAAUUAAUUGGUCGUGCCUCUGGUACGUACUGAUUUUAUUGGUUUCUCCCUUCUGAAGAACCAUGAUGUCAUUAAUUUGGUGUCGUGGAGAAUCAGGACUGUUACUUUGAAAAAAUUAGAGUGUUUAAAGCAAGCUAACGCUUGAAUACAUUAGCAUGGAAUAAUGAAAUAGGACGUUUGAUCCUAUUUUGUUGGUUUCUAGGAUCGACGUAAUGAUUAAUAGGGAUAGUUGGGGGCAUUAGUAUUCAAUUGUCAGAGGUGAAACUCUUGGAUUUAUUGAAGACUAACUACUGCGAAAGCAUUUGCCAAGGAUGUUUUCAUUAAUCAAGAACGAAAGUUAGGGGAUCGAAGACGAUCAGAUACCGUCGUAGUCUUAACCAUAAACUAUGCCGACUAGGGAUCGGAUGAUGUUAAUUUUUUAAUGACUCAUUCGGCGCCUUAC
rnacentral:rRNA from 1 species